AACGUAGGAGGCGAGCGUUAUCCGGAUUCACUGGGCGUAAAGCGCGCGUAGGCGGUUAGGCAAGUCGGGUGUUAAAGCCCCUGGCUCAACUGGGGGAGGUCAUUCGAUACUGCUUGGCUUGAGGGUGAGAGAGGAAAGUGGAAUUCCCGGUGUAGCGGUGGAAUGCGUAGAGAUCGGGAGGAACACCAGUGGCGAAGGCGGCUUUCUGGCUCACUUCUGACGCUGAGAGCGCGAAAGCGUGGGGAGCAAACGGG
rnacentral:rRNA from 1 species